AGCGGCGGACGGGUGAGUAACGCGUAGGAAUCUACCUGGUAGUGGGGGACAACUCGGGGAAACUCGAGCUAAUACCGCAUACGCCCUACGGGGGAAAGGUGGCCUCUAUUUAUAAGCUAUCGCUAUUGGAUGAGCCUGCGUUGGAUUAGCUAGUUGGUAGGGUAAGAGCCUACCAAGGCGACGAUCCAUAGCUGGUCUGAGAGGAUGAUCAGCCACACUGGGACUGAGACACGGCCCAGACUCCUACGGGAGGCAGCAGUGGGGAAUAUUGCGCAAUGGGCGAAAGCCUGACGCAGCCAUGCCGCGUGUGUGAAGAAGGCUUUCGGGUUGUAAAGCACUUUAAGCAGGGAGGAAAAGUUCAUACCUAAUACGUAUGAACCGUGACGUUACCUGCAGAAUAAGCACCGGCUAACUCCGUGCCAGCAGCCGCGG
rnacentral:rRNA from 1 species